ACGCACGCUGGCGGCGUGCUUAACCCAUGCAAGUCGAACGGAAAGGCCCUGCUUUUGUGGGGUGCUCGAGUGGCGAACGGGUGAGUAACACGUGAGUAACCUGCCCUUGACUUUGGGAUAACUUCAGGAAACUGGGGCUAAUACCGGAUAGGAGCUCCUGCUGCAUGGUGGGGGUUGGAAAGUUUCGGCGGUUGGGGAUGGACUCGCGGCUUAUCAGCUUGUUGGUGGGGUAGUGGCUUACCAAGGCUUUGAGGGGUAGCCGGCCUGAGAGGGUGACCGGCCACAUUGGGACUGAGAUACGGCCCAGACUCCUACGGGAGGCAGCAGUGGGGAAUAUUGCACAAUGGGCGGAAGCCUGAUGCAGCAACGCCGCGUGCGGGAUGACGGCCUUCGGGUUGUAAACCGCUUUCGCCUGUGACGAAGCGUGAGUGACGGUAAUGGGUAAAGAAGCACCGGCUAACUACGUG
rnacentral:rRNA from 1 species